rnacentral:rRNA from 1 species
UCAGGAUGAACGCUGGCGGCGUGCAUAACACAUCAAGUCGAACGGGCAGUAUUCCUCGGGGUGCUGCUAGUGGCGGACGGGUGAGUAACGCGUGAGCAACCUGCCUCUGUGAGUGGAAUAACACAGGGAAACUUGUGCUAAUACCGCAUGACGAAGCGAAGCCGCAUGACUUUGCUUCCAAAGAUUUAUCGCACAGAGAUGGGCUCGCGUCCGAUUAGGCAGUUGGUGAGGUAACGGCUCACCAAACCGACGAUCGGUAGCCGGACUGAGAGGUUGAACGGCCACAUUGGAACUGAGAUACGGUCCAGACUCCUACGGGAGGCAGCAGUGGGGAAUAUUGGGCAAUGGGGCCGCAAGCCUGACCCAGCGACGCCGCGUGAGGGAAGAAGGUCUUCGGAUUGUAAACCUCUUUGACAGGGGACGAAGUAAGUGACGGUACCCUGAAAACAAGCCACGGCUAACUACGUGCCAGCCGCCGC